rnacentral:rRNA from 1 species
GAUGAACGCUAGCUACAGGCUUAACACAUGCAAGUCGAGGGGCAGCACAAGGCAGCAAUGCUGAGGUGGCGACCGGCGCACGGGUGCGUAACGCGUAUCCAACCUUCCCGUUACUCUUGGAUAGCCUUCCGAAAGGGAGAUUAAUACAAGAUGGUGUUGAAAUUCCGCAUGUUAUUUCAACUAAAGAUUUAUCGGUAACGGAUGGGGAUGCGUUCCAUUAGCUUGUUGGCGGGGUAACGGCCCACCAAGGCUUCGAUGGAUAGGGGUUCUGAGAGGAAGGUCCCCCACACUGGAGCUGAGACACGGUCCAGACUCCUACGGGAGGCAGCAGUGAGGAAUAUUGGUCAAUGGUCGGAAGACUGAACCAGCCAAGUAGCGUGAAGGAUGAAGGUUCUAUGGAUUGUAAACUUCUUUUAUACGGGAAUAAAACACCUUACGUGUAGGGUCUUGUAUGUACCGUAUGAAUAAGCAUCGGCUAACUCCGUG